GGGUGCGAUUAUACCAGCACUAAUGAACCGGAUCCCAUCAGAACUUCGAAGUUAAGCGUGCUUGGGCGAGAGUAGUACUAGGAUGGGUGGCCUCCUGGGAAGUCCUCGUGUUGCACCCC
rnacentral:rRNA from 1 species